UACCAGCACCCCGAGUGGUCGGGACGUUUAUUGGGCCUAAAGCAUCCGUAGCCGGUUCUACAAGUCUUCCGUUAAAUCCACCUGCUUAACAGAUGGGCUGCGGAAGAUACUAUGGAGCUAGGAGGCGGGAGAGGCAAGCGGUACUCGAUGGGUAGGGGUAAAAUCCGUUGAUCCAUUGAAGACCACCAGUGGCGAAGGCGGCUUGCCAGAACGCGCUCGACGGUGAGGGAUGAAAGCUGGGGGAGCAAACCAGG
rnacentral:rRNA from 1 species